GUUUAUUCUCUUCGUGGUUUUCUUUUCAUUCAAGUAAAUUAGACUGAUGUUUUACUUUGUGGCGGUUUUGCGGUUUGGGAAAGGUGAUGGGGUGGAAGCUCCGCGCCCCCUUUGCCCAGAAAUUGCACUUCAGAAGGCGGCAGUGGGUUUCUUCGUCGCUCGUGUGCCUCAAAAGUUGACCGGAAAGGACAAUAGCCGAAAGGGCCUGCGUCUCUCCAGGGACAGGGCUUUCCGGAGAAACAAAUCAAGAAAAAAAACCUGGUUUAUCUUCCCUCCACCCAGCGUCAGUUCUUCGUGGCUGUGCAUAGGGACUGCGGAGCAGCGUGAAGUGCUGUGUAGGACAGAGGCUCCUCCAGGUGCUGGUGCUCCCACAGACAGAAAAAAAUUUUCACAGCUGUGUCUCCUGAGUUUUGCGAAGGAAGCCGAGGCAUCAGGAGCAUACACCGGUUCUUUCCCAGCGUCAGCUGAGAUGAAGGUCCUGGACAGAGAUCCCACCCCAGAGGGUUAA
rnacentral:lncRNA from 1 species